AUUGAACGCUGGCGGCAUGCUUUGCACAUGCAAGUCGAACGGUAACAGGCCGCAAGGUGCUGACGAGUGGCGAACGGGUGAGUAAUGCAUCGGAACGUGCCCAGUCGUGGGGGAUAACGCAGCGAAAGCUGCGCUAAUACCGCAUACGAGCUAUGGAUGAAAGCGGGGGACCGUAAGGCCUCGCGCGAUUGGAGCGGCCGAUGUCGGAUUAGGUAGUUGGUGGGGUAAAGGCUCGCCAAGCCGACGAUCUGUAGCUGGUCUGAGAGGACGACCAGCCACACUGGGACUGAGACACGGCCCAGACUCCUACGGGAGGCAGCAGUGGGGAAUUUUGGACAAUGGGGGCAACCCUGAUCCAGCAAUGCCGCGUGCAGGAAGAAGGCCUUCGGGUUGUAAACUGCUUUUGUACGGAACGAAACGGCUCUGGUUAAUACCUGGGGCUAAUGACGGUGCCGUAAGGAUAAGCACCGGCUAACUACGUGCCAGCCGCCGCCGUAAUAC
rnacentral:rRNA from 1 species